UUAAGCGACUAAGCGUACACGGUGGAUGCCCUGGCAGUCAGAGGCGAUGAAGGACGUGCUAAUCUGCGAUAAGCGUCGGUGAGGUGAUAUGAACCGUUAUAACCGGCGAUUUCCGAAUGGGGAAACCCAGUGUGUUUCGACACACUAUCAUUAACUGAAUCCAUAGGUUAAUGAGGCGAACCGGGGGAACUGAAACAUCUAAGUACCCCGAGGAAAAGAAAUCAACCGAGAUUCCCCCAGUAGCGGCGAGCGAACGGGGAGGAGCCCAGAGCCUGAAUCAGUGUGUGUUAGUGGAAGCGUCUGGAAAGGCGCGCGAUACAGGGUGACAGCCCCGUACACAAAAAUGCACAUAUUGUGAGCUCGAUGAGUAGGGCGGGACACGUGGUAUCCUGUCUGAAUAUGGGGGGACCAUCCUCCAAGGCUAAAUACUCCUGACUGACCGAUAGUGAACCAGUACCGUGAGGGAAAGGCGAAAAGAACCCCGGCGAGGGGAGUGAAAAAGAACCUGAAACCGUGUACGUACAAGCAGUGGGAGCCUCUUAAUGGGGUGACUGCGUACCUUUUGUAUAAUGGGUCAGCGACUUAUAUUCUGUAGCAAGGUUAACCGAAUAGGGGAGCCGAAGGGAAACCGAGUCUUAACUGGGCGUUAAGUUGCAGGGUAUAGACCCGAAACCCGGUGAUCUAGCCAUGGGCAGGUUGAAGGUUGGGUAACACUAACUGGAGGACCGAACCGACUAAUGUUGAAAAAUUAGCGGAUGACUUGUGGCUGGGGGUGAAAGGCCAAUCAAACCGGGAGAUAGCUGGUUCUCCCCGAAAGCUAUUUAGGUAGCGCCUCGUGAAUUCAUCUCCGGGGGUAGAGCACUGUUUCGGCAAGGGGGUCAUCCCGACUUACCAACCCGAUGCAAACUGCGAAUACCGGAGAAUGUUAUCACGGGAGACACACGGCGGGUGCUAACGUCCGUCGUGAAGAGGGAAACAACCCAGACCGCCAGCUAAGGUCCCAAAGUCAUGGUUAAGUGGGAAACGAUGUGGGAAGGCCCAGACAGCCAGGAUGUUGGCUUAGAAGCAGCCAUCAUUUAAAGAAAGCGUAAUAGCUCACUGGUCGAGUCGGCCUGCGCGGAAGAUGUAACGGGGCUAAACCAUGCACCGAAGCUGCGGCAGCGACACUAUGUGUUGUUGGGUAGGGGAGCGUUCUGUAAGCCUGUGAAGGUGGCCUGUGAGGGUUGCUGGAGGUAUCAGAAGUGCGAAUGCUGACAUAAGUAACGAUAAAGCGGGUGAAAAGCCCGCUCGCCGGAAGACCAAGGGUUCCUGUCCAACGUUAAUCGGGGCAGGGUGAGUCGACCCCUAAGGCGAGGCCGAAAGGCGUAGUCGAUGGGAAACAGGUUAAUAUUCCUGUACUUGGUGUUACUGCGAAGGGGGGACGGAGAAGGCUAUGUUGGCCGGGCGACGGUUGUCCCGGUUUAAGCGUGUAGGCUGGUUUUCCAGGCAAAUCCGGAAAAUCAAGGCUGAGGCGUGAUGACGAGGCACUACGGUGCUGAAGCGACAAAUGCCCUGCUUCCAGGAAAAGCCUCUAAGCAUCAGGUAACAUCAAAUCGUACCCCAAACCGACACAGGUGGUCAGGUAGAGAAUACCAAGGCGCUUGAGAGAACUCGGGUGAAGGAACUAGGCAAAAUGGUGCCGUAACUUCGGGAGAAGGCACGCUGAUAUGUAGGUGAAGCGACUUGCUCGUGGAGCUGAAAUCAGUCGAAGAUACCAGCUGGCUGCAACUGUUUAUUAAAAACACAGCACUGUGCAAACACGAAAGUGGACGUAUACGGUGUGACGCCUGCCCGGUGCCGGAAGGUUAAUUGAUGGGGUUAGCGGUAACGCGAAGCUCUUGAUCGAAGCCCCGGUAAACGGCGGCCGUAACUAUAACGGUCCUAAGGUAGCGAAAUUCCUUGUCGGGUAAGUUCCGACCUGCACGAAUGGCGUAAUGAUGGCCAGGCUGUCUCCACCCGAGACUCAGUGAAAUUGAACUCGCUGUGAAGAUGCAGUGUACCCGCGGCAAGACGGAAAGACCCCGUGAACCUUUACUAUAGCUUGACACUGAACAUUGAGCCUUGAUGUGUAGGAUAGGUGGGAGGCUUUGAAGUGUGGACGCCAGUCUGCAUGGAGCCGACCUUGAAAUACCACCCUUUAAUGUUUGAUGUUCUAACGUGGGCCCCUUACCGGGGUUGCGGACAGUGUCUGGUGGGUAGUUUGACUGGGGCGGUCUCCUCCUAAAGAGUAACGGAGGAGCACGAAGGUUGGCUAAUCCUGGUCGGACAUCAGGAGGUUAGUGCAAUGGCAUAAGCCAGCUUGACUGCGAGCGUGACGGCGCGAGCAGGUGCGAAAGCAGGUCAUAGUGAUCCGGUGGUUCUGAAUGGAAGGGCCAUCGCUCAACGGAUAAAAGGUACUCCGGGGAUAACAGGCUGAUACCGCCCAAGAGUUCAUAUCGACGGCGGUGUUUGGCACCUCGAUGUCGGCUCAUCACAUCCUGGGGCUGAAGUAGGUCCCAAGGGUAUGGCUGUUCGCCAUUUAAAGUGGUACGCGAGCUGGGUUUAGAACGUCGUGAGACAGUUCGGUCCCUAUCUGCCGUGGGCGCUGGAGAACUGAGGGGGGCUGCUCCUAGUACGAGAGGACCGGAGUGGACGCAUCACUGGUGUUCGGGUUGUCAUGCCAAUGGCACUGCCCGGUAGCUAAAUGCGGAAGAGAUAAGUGCUGAAAGCAUCUAAGCACGAAACUUGCCCCGAGAUGAGUUCUCCCUGACUCCUUGAGAGUCCUGAAGGAACGUUGAAGACGACGACGUUGAUAGGCCGGGUGUGUAAGCGCAGCGAUGCGUUGAGCUAACCGGUACUAAUGAACCGUGAGGCUUAACCU
rnacentral:rRNA from 1 species